AGAGGCAGCUGCUCCUUGCGAUGUUUGCUUCAAGCGGGAGAGCACCACCAGCAACAGAAGCUUGUCAUUUCGACCAUUUUAGGGGAUGAUAGGUAUGAAGAUGGCUUAUUUACAACUUGUCCAUGCAGAAUCGUUCUCUACCCACAUUAAGGGUGGCAGUAAGUAAGCACAGCUUAAAGGAGGAGCUAAAUACGUUUGAUAAAGCAUAACAAAGUCUGCUUUGGAAAUUCUGCUCUGGAAGGUUGGUUAGAAUGAAGGCAGAACGUCACAUCUGCAACAGUGGUGGACACACAAUCCACCCCUCUUCUUACCCUAAUCAGCGGAAAGCUGUGAAGUCUCUUAUAAUCAGCUUCCUCCUUCUUCCCCUCCCCAGUGUCGGCCAUGGUCCUUCCCCAGGGACCGCAGGAAGGGUCGGAGGGAGCUCAGCAAGGUGCUGCAGUGCAGG